rnacentral:rRNA from 1 species
CCGUAUACUGGGGGAUAACACUUAGAAAUAGGUGCUAAUACCGCAUAAGCGCACAGCUUCGCAUGAAGCAGUGUGAAAAACUCCGGUGGUAUACGAUGGAUCCGCGUCUGAUUAGCUAGUUGGCGGGGUAAAGGCCCACCAAGGCGACGAUCAGUAGCCGGCCUGAGAGGGUGAACGGCCACAUUGGGACUGAGACACGGCCCAAACUCCUACGGGAGGCAGCAGUGGGGAAUAUUGCACAAUGGGGGAAACCCUGAUGCAGCGACGCCGCGUGAGUGAAGAAGUAUUUCGGUACGUAAAGCUCUAUCAGCAGGGAAGAAAAUGACGGUACCUGACUAAGAAGCCCCGGCUAACUACGUGCCAGCAGCCGCGGUAAUACGUAGGGGGCAAGCGUUAUCCGGAUUUACUGGGUGUAAAGGGAGCGUAGACGGCAGCGCAAGUCUGGAGUGAAAUCCCAUGGCUUAACCAUGGAACUGCUUUGGAAACUGUGCAGCUAGAGUGCAGGAGAGGUAAGCGGAAUUCCUAGUGUAGCGGUGAAAUGCGUAGAUAUUAGGAGGAACACCAGUGGCGAAGGCGGCUUACUGGACUGUAACUGACGUUGAGGCUCGAAAGCGUGGGGAGCAAACAGGAUUAGAUACCCUGGUAGUCCACGCUGUAAACGAUGAUUACUAGGUGUUGGGGGACCAAGGUCCUUCGGUGCCGUCGCAAACGCAUUAAGUAAUCCACCUGGG